UGGCCAGGCUGGUCUCGAACUUCUGACCUCAAGUGAUCCACCUGCCUCGGCCUUCUAAAGUGCUGGGAUUACAGGCGUGAACCACUUAGCCUGGUCAGUUAUUGUCUCUUUUUAAAGAUUGUGUUGCUUUCUGCCUCAAUAUUAAUAUGUUGGAAAUUACCAAGAAGUUCAUGACAGAUCUAUUUCACAUUCUGGUGAAGAAGGAAGAAUUGGCCCUUGAAGGAGUCAAUGUUUUACAAUAAUUUUGAAAGAGGAACUGGCAGUAGGGGUCAACUUGGGAAGACAGCUGUGACCAUAAAUAUUAAAGAAGACAAAAGGAUUCUUUGUGACACUGAGACCUUCUGCAGUACUACAGUGGGGGAAAUGCCGGUGUACACAGCUGGCCUCAUGUAAUUCCUGGGAUGAGAUCGUUUGGGAUGCAGUGCUGGCUGUUGCUGAGCAGGCGAUCACAGUGCGUACUGUGUUUCUUUCCUUGAGAAUAUUUGAAUCUCGCCUGAGUACUCAUAACAGAUGAGAAACACAGGUUUUGAUAGCAUAGAUUCACACUAUCAUGAGUCAUGAGCUCUUGAGAGCAAAGUAAUUGGUUUUGUCCUCUUUAGAGUUAGACCCUGUGGUUGGGUAUGAAAGAUGAGUGUCUGUAAAAAUCUGUCUUAGAAAUGUAUUUCCAAGACUCUGUCUCAAAAAAAAAAAAAAAAUGAUUUCCUAGUUCUGUAAAAGUCGCUAUAUUGAGUGUUCUCUAUCACUUAAUAAUAUACUUACUUUGUUAUUAAGUGGACUUAAAGAUAUGCGGUGUAUAAAAUCAGCUAAUUAUGUUAAACCAUGGUGUCUCCCUUUAUUGUGUUAGGCUGAAUAGAACAAACUUUAAAAUAAUUUUUUAAAGAAAAUAUUUGAAUUCAUUUUGUUUGGUGUUAUGUUUUUAUUCAGAAAAGCAUUUUAUUAGUGCUAGGUGUGAACCGGAGCCUUUUGCUAAAUACCAGCAGCAAUCAUGUCCUAGAGUUAAAUCCCAGAAAAUUUGCCAUAUUGUAUAUUAAAGGUUCAAUAAAUUACAAUAAAGUAUUCUUUCUUUAAAGUGA